AUCAGUUAUAAUUUACUUCAUUGUAUACUCUUACUUGGAUAACCGUAGUAAUUCUAGAGCUAAUACAUGCUAAAAAACGGAACUGCGGCAACGCGGAACCGUUGUGUUUGUUAGAUACAAAAUCAAUGCAGUCGUAAGGCUGGUUUUUUGAUGAUUCAUAACAACUAAACGAAGCGCAGGCCUAGAGCCGGCGCUGAUAGAAACAAGUUUCUGCCCUAUCAACUUUCGAUGGUAGUAUAGGGGACUACCAUGGUCGUAACGGGUAACGGGGAAUUAGGGUUCUAUUCCGGAGAGGGAGCCUGAGAAACGGCUACCACUUCCAAGGAAGGCAGCAGGCGCGCAAAUUACCCAAUCCUAAUACUGGGAGGUAGUGACAAGAAAUACCAUUGGUUGAGACAUUGUCUGAGCUAUUUGGAAUGAGAACAAUUUAAACACCUUAACGAGGAACAAAUGGAGGGCAAGUCUGGUGCCAGCAGCCGCGGUAAUUCCAGCUCCAUCAGUGUAUAUUAACGUUGUUGCGGUUAAAAAGCUCGUAGUUGGAUUUCGGAGUGCGAAGGUCAAGGCCCGUCAAUUGGCGUGGUCCGACAGUCGCCUCCUAGCUUAGGGUAACAGCCUCUCUUCCUUUACGGGUUGGGAUGUGCCGUUCCCUAUCGUUUACUUUGAUAAAAUCAGAGUGUUCAAAGCAGGCGUCACUUGCCUUGAAUGUUGCCGCAAGGGAUAAUAGAAUAUGACUUCGGUCUUAUUUUGUUGGUUUCUAGGGCUGAAGUAAUGACUAAUAGGGACAGUUGGGGGCGCUCGUAUUGAGUUGUCAGAGGUGAAAUUCUAGGAUUUACUCAAGACGAACUACUGCGAAAGCAUUCGCCAAGGAUGUUUUCAUUAAUCAAGAACGAAAGUAGGGGGAUCGAAGAUGAUCAGAUACCGUCGUAGUCUCUACCAUAAACUAUGUGGACCAACGAUCCGAGGAAGUUACAUGGAUGACUCUCCGGGCAGUUUGUGAGAAAUCAUAAGUAUUUGCAUUCCGGGGGGAGUAUGGUCGCAAGGCUGAAACUUAAAGGAAUUGACGGAAGGGCACCACCAGGAGUGGAACCUGCGGCUUAAUUUGACCCAACACGGGGAAACUUACCAGGUCCGGACACAGUUAGGAUUGACAGAUUGAGAGCUCUUUCUUGAUUCUGUGGGUGGUGGUGCAUGGCCGUUUUUAGUUGGUGGAGUGAUUUGUCUGGUUAAUUCCGUUAACGAACGAGACCUUAACCUAUUAAUUAGUUAUACGAACUUGGGCUUCGGUCUUUUCGGUUCGUGGAC
rnacentral:rRNA from 1 species